UAGAGGAAGUAAAAGUCGUAACAAGGUCUCCGUUGGUGAACCAGCGGAGGGAUCAUUACUGAGUUUACGCUCUAUAACCCUUUGUGAACAUACCUAUAACUGUUGCUUCGGCGGGUAGGGUCUCCGCGACCCUCCCGGCCUCCCGCCCCCGGGCGGGUCGGCGCCCGCCGGAGGAUAACCAAACUCUGAUUUAACGACGUUUCUUCUGAGUGGUACAAGCAAAUAAUCAAAACUUUUAACAACGGAUCUCUUGGUUCUGGCAUCGAUGAAGAACGCAGCGAAAUGCGAUAAGUAAUGUGAAUUGCAGAAUUCAGUGAAUCAUCGAAUCUUUGAACGCACAUUGCGCCCGCCAGCAUUCUGGCGGGCAUGCCUGUUCGAGCGUCAUUUCAACCCUCAAGCUCUGCUUGGUGUUGGGGCCCUACAGCUGAUGUAGGCCCUCAAAGGUAGUGGCGGACCCUCCCGGAGCCUCCUUUGCGUAGUAACUUUACGUCUCGCACUGGGAUCCGGAGGGACUCUUGCCGUAAAACCCCCAACUUUCCAAAGGUUGACCUCGGAUCAGGUAGGAAUACCCGCUGAACUUAAGCAUAUCAAUA
rnacentral:rRNA from 1 species